rnacentral:rRNA from 1 species
GUCUAUGGCUAUGCUACCCUGAACAAUCCUGUCUGAUCUCAGAAGCUAAACAGGGUUGGGCCUGGUUAGUACGUGGAUGGGAGAUGACCUAGGAAGACCAGGUGCUGUAGGCA